UCUUCACAAGCUAUUAAUGUCGCUGUAGCUUCAAAAGCCGGGUGACCUUUAAAUGCCGAGCCUCCUGCUCCCGCCCAGGGCUCGGAAACGGCUUAAUGGAUACUCAGCCCCAACGGUCACAGCUGCUCGGACGACAACAAAGCCUGCCUCAUUCCCAGAGCCCCCAGAACUGCAGGGCAGCUACACCUGUGCCCAUUCUCUAACCCUGGCGCAGCAACCAGAGCAAGAGGCCAGAUUCAACACAGCAUCCGUCAGGCUGGAGAGCCACUCUGUUCCCUGGCACAGACCACAGAACGGACAGAGAAGGAGCACACGGCAAAGAUCGCCAGACUGGGGGCAGCACUGAAUCCCAGGGCACAAACUAACCCUAAGGGAGCUGAGGAGGGCCGGAGAGGGGUCUUCCAGUUAUGAAAUAGUGUUCAAGUCCAGGGAGCAAGGUAAGAAAGGGCUGGCGGUAAAGUUAUAUCUAGAAGAACAGAAAGCUCACAAAACCCAGUUUUCUUACCAAGCUCCUAUUCCCCUUCCCACCAAAGCUGUCAAGUUGCCUGAGUAACAGACUGUUUACCAAAACCUGGGCGGGUUAGGGAAUAUUUCCACAACAGCUUCUCUCUCUAUCAACAAACGCAGCCAACUCAGCCAACAGUUCAACUUUGGGCUGAGGAGAUGAGACCUCAUUGGGCGGAGAGGGGCUGCUUCCCACUCCACCCCAGGGACUGGCAAGAACAUGUACGUGCCUGGGACCAAGUGAAGCUGUCC
rnacentral:lncRNA from 1 species